AUUGAACGUUGGCGGCACGCCUUAUACAUGCAAGUCGAACGAGAAAGUACCUUCGGGUACGAGUACAGUGGCGGACGGGUGAGUAACGCGUAGGAAUCUACCUUCAGGUGGGGGACAACUCGGGGAAACUCGAGCUAAUACCGCAUAACACCUAUGGGUCAAAGUGGGGGAUCUUCGGACCUCACGCCAGAAGAGGAGCCUGCGUUGGAUUAGUUAGUUGGUGGGGUAAUGGCCUACCAAGGCGACGAUCUAUAGCUGGUCUGAGAGGACGAUCAGCCACACUGGAACUGAGACACGGUCCAGACUCCUACGGGAGGCAGCAGUAGGGAAUCUUGGUCAAUGGGCGCAAGCCUGAACCAGCGAUGCCGCGUGUGUGAAGAAGGCCUUAGGGUUGUAAAGCACUUUCAGUCGUGAAGAAAAUCUCGAGGUUAAUAACCUCGGGCCUUGACGUUAACGACAGAAGAAGAUCCGGCUAACUCCG
rnacentral:rRNA from 1 species